CGAGAUAACAGAGAUAAACGGUGAACAGGUGAUGACGAUAGCGAUUCUUGCUCUCUUUGUUUCUUCUUCUUCGAUCGAGUGAUCGACAACGACAGAGCAUCUUCUUCUUCUCCUCUAUACAGUAGAUCGACUUGCAUGUCCUGAGGUAUGUAGCUCGUGCCUCUCUGUUUACACGAUUUUAGAUUUCUGUUCGUCCUUUCAAAGGUAAGUAAUCUUCUUCAUAGGUAUUUAGCUCGUCCCUUCAUAAUGAAGGUAAGUAAUCUUCUUCCUUGUUCUGUCUCUCUCCCUGCGAAUGUGUUCUGUGAAUCUUCUUAGUUGGAUUAUGUCUCUCUGCGAAAGUAUUUUUUCCUAACAGUGUAAUGAUAUAUAUAUAUAUAUAUUGUGUUGUUCUGUUUUGUUUAUGUAUUAGAUGGCUUGGUUGUAUAAGCGUUGUUCUCUUUUUGUUCUGCUUACUCUCGGUUGCUAGUUAUUAAUUAAAAAAUUCAACACAACUUUACUCUUGGUUGUUUCUGUAUUGUUCUGUUUUUGUUUCGGUAUUGAUAUAUAUUGUGUCGUUCUUCUUUUGUUUCUGUAUUAGAUGGCUUUGUUGUUUCUUAAGUAUUGUUCUGUUUUGAUUCUUGUUGAUAACACGGUUCAAGCACUCUUGUUAUCUUGUUUGAUAACAGACUGCUCUUCUUUUUUAUUAAAUAUCGCUUACACUUGUUUUAUUUUUCAUGCAUGAUCAUGAAUUCAUGAGUCGAUACUUGUUUGAUGGAGUGAUGUUGUAGAAGCAGAGGGAGACUGACAUUAUUCCCUUCUGCCUUCUGGUUGCUUCAGGACUUGAGGUUACAUGUCCCAAGCCUUGAUGAAGAUUGCUGGCCCGCGGGCCGACCCGCAUACCCGCUGCUAUAGGGCUGGUCGGGAUUGGUCAUAGGUUUUAGAGACCGCAGCCCGCCGCGGUACGACCCGCAGAGACUCGAAUGAAACUGAAACCCGCGACGGGGCGGGUCAUUUGGUUGCGGGAGAGCCCAAAUGCCACCACUAUUCCUGGUUAUCAAAAAAAGAAAAAAAAAACUUCGGCUCUUGCCACCGAAACUGAAGCGUAUUUAUGGGCCGCAAUUUUACGCUUGCGUUUGAACCUUAUAACUUAUAAGAGAGAUGUUUAUUUCGGAUUGCAACGACUUGGUGACCAAACCUCUUUGGAGAUUUUCAGGAUCUUUUAAAAGCGCCAUUAGGGAAAGUA